UGGGUCAUUGGCAUACAUUGUUCCUGA
rnacentral:piRNA from 1 species